CGGCCGCGUCUUCUUGGAGGAUGAAGAAGUCAUCCUGCCGCGUGCUGGGAGAGGGGCGGGAGGAAGAGCAUGUGAGAGUGACAGGAACUGACGCAGCUCCGGCCGCUCCUCCAGCCCCAGGUAGUCCCCAACGAAGUUCCUAUUGAUGCUGUUGCGUCUCCGCUCCUUCUUGUUCAGCAGGAUGUUGGAAGCUGUGGGGGCACAGGGUCGGGGGAGGGGCAGAGGUCAUGGUUUGGCUCCCCCAAGCCAAUCCGUCCUCAGCCCCAGCUUCCCACCUGCAGCCUCUCACCUUCCUCCCGCAUCUCCUCGUACUUCCGGACUGCCACAUGGCGCCGCCAGGCCUUCUGGAUGGUGCGGGCAAAGCCAUCGAACUUGCGCUCUCGCAUCUCCUCUAGAAGGAAGAGCUGGACAAGAAGGAGGGCUGGUGGGUCCUGGCAUCUCCCCGGGGAGCACAGUUUCCAGUUUCCUCUGAGUUUCCACCCCACCCAUGUACUUUUGCUGACAGGCACCUGCACACAUGCUUUUACGUUAUGGACACAAAAUUUUGUCUUCUUCCAAAUGACCAGACCCAGAAAUCCCUCCCAAUUUGGAGCAUAGCUUCUGCAUUAAAUUACAACUCUAGA